UACAGAGGGGGCAAGCGUUGUUCGGAAUUACUGGGCGUAAAGGGCGCGUAGGCGGCCUUCUAAGUCGAACGUGAAAUCCCUGGGCUCAACCCAGGAACUGCGUCUGAUACUGGAUGGCUUGAAUCCGGGAGAGGGAUGCAGAAUUCCAGGUGUAGCGGUGAAAUGCGUAGAUAUCUGGAGGAAUACCGGUGGCGAAGGCGGCAUCCUGGACCGGCAUUGACGCUGAUGAGCGAAAGCCAGGGGAGCAAACGGG
rnacentral:rRNA from 1 species